AGUGAACGCUGGCGGCAGGCCUAACACAUGCAAGUCGAACGGUAACAGGAAACAGCUUGCUGUUUCGCUGACGAGUGGCGGACGGGUGAGUAAUGUCUGGGAAACUGCCUGAUGGAGGGGGAUAACUACUGGAAACGGUAGCUAUUACCGCAUAACGUCGCAAGACCAAAGAGGGGGACCUUCGGGCCUCUUGCCAUCGGAUGUGCCCAGAUGGGAAUUAGCUUGUUGGUGGGGUAACGGCUCACCAAGGCGACGAUCCCUAGCUGGUCUGAGAGGAUGACCAGCCACACUGGAACUGAGACACGGUCCAGACUCCUACGGGAGGCAGCAGUGGGGAAUAUUGCACAAUGGGCGCAAGCCUGAUGCAGCCAUGCCGCGUGUAUGAAGAAGGCCUUCGGGUUGUAAAGUACUUUCAGCGGGGAGGAAGGGAGUAAAGUUAAUACCUUUACUCAUUGACGUUACCCGCAGAAGAAGCACCGGCUAACUCCGUGCCAGCCGCCGCCGUAA
rnacentral:rRNA from 1 species